AAAAGUCCCUGGUUAGAACGGUUGUCAUUCAUUCAUUGGAGAGUCCUAGCUUUGAAAGCUUCCUCUAUUGAGCCAAGAUUUUCCUUUAAGUCUGCAACCAUGAGCUGCUGUCGCUGUUGUGGAGGUCGCGGCUGCGGAUGCUGCAACAGAUACAGGCCAAGAACGGUUUACUAUGUAGGAAGGCCCGCAACUGGUGGGUGCUGUUGUGGGUCUCGUGGCCGUUGCUGCGGCCGUUGCUGUGGCCGUCCACGGUGCUGCUGUACUCCAUCUUACCCAUAUUAUCGAAUUCCAGUCCAGACCUAUGGCACCCAAGUGAAGAAAUGCUAAAGGAACAUUGACAGCGUUCACAAGACCUGCAAGUUAGAGUUACCAGAUUCAGACUGCAGAAGCUGCAACGACCACUAAAGGGCAGCGAAGAGCAGAUGCUUUCCGUAUCACCCCACUGCCCUCUCGUGAUCAUUUGAAAUAUUGCAAUCCAGAUACGACAACUAAAUGCAGUCUUCCCUUUUGACAGCUAGAGGGAUGUGAGAAUGUUACUUGUUCCUCUUGCAAGACUUGCUGGAUUAUCUCUGACUCAUCUUGCCAAGUUGAUGAACAGAAGCCUUGACACAAAUGUAUUACCCAACACUCUUUGAUCUUCUCUUGACUUUAUUCCUGAAACGAUUAGAAUCGUUUCCUCGUAACCGAAGGGCAAAUGGCACCGUUUUUCUUUUCUUUUUUUCUUAUGACUAUCGGGUGAUUUUUGUUCGGGGUCUGGAUCUUCCCUACCAACUGGUUCUAUAGCCAUUUAGCUUUUCCAAAAACAAUAGUUUUGGGUGACGGUUUGCAUUUUCUUUGGCAAAGCCCUGUCGGCAUUUUCCAAUCCUUGUAAUCCUUGCAUAAACUUAUGGUUUCAAUAAAAUUCUGAAUUCUAAAAGUU